UACGUAGGGUGCGAGCGUUGCCCGGAUUUAUUGGGCGUAAAAGGGCGCGCAGGCGGUACGGCACGUCCGUUGUGAAAUCGCUCGGCUCAACUGGGCGGGGUCAGCGGGAUACGGCCGCACUUGAGCAAGCUAGGGGGCAAUGGAAUUCCCGGUGUAGUGGUGGAAUGCGUAGAUAUCGGGGAGGAACACCAGUGGCGAAGGCGGUUGCCUGGAGCUUUGCUGACGCUGAGGCGCGAAAGCGUGGGGGAG
rnacentral:rRNA from 1 species